rnacentral:lncRNA from 1 species
UAUUUUUCCUUUUACUUUUUGUUUAUUUAUUUAGCUAUUGUUUUGUAUUUUCUUUUAGCAUCAAAAUAUUUUUGUAAACUGUUAAACUUUGCCAUAUAAUUACUAUGCAUUAUUGUGCACUGCCACAACAAGUUUGGGGUUCAAAAUAAUUUAUUAAGUUUGAGUUUAUUUUUUAAAUGGGAUAAAAAGGUGUUGUUGGUCCACUGUUUUAAUAUCCAGGGGCAAUUUUAUAUUUUGAAAAAUGUUAAUUAUUUCAUGACAAAUUGUUAGUGAAUAUUUGCAACCCACCAAACAUUUUUGUUUUACCGUUUGAAGAAAUAAUAGUUUGACUUUAUUUUAAAUUUAAUUUGAAUCAGGUUUGGAUCAAAGUGAGGUUUAGCAAAUUACUACAAUGACAUGGCAUCAUUAAGAGGGGAAUAUUGUAGCUUGAUUAUCCGGGCGUCACAAUUCUCCUCCACUACAAGAAAUCUCGUCCCGAGAUUUAGGACCGGAGUAAGGGGGAAAGGGUCUGGUUAGGUAAUUCUAACGAAUCUCCUCGGUCUUGGUUGCUUUUCUCGAAGCGCUCAAUCCAUUACAAUGAUGUCUUCAUUCCACUGCUUCAGGUCAUCAUUAUGAAGUCUUCAUCCUUUCUUCGGGGGUUCCAUCGUUCUUAUGAAUAGGUAACGGGGCAGAUUGGCAACAGCAGAAUGCUAUAAGGGUAAUAAUCUGGGAUUAACCCAUGAAUGAUCAUACGAGUGCCUCUUGAGUUGAACAAUUAAAACACAUCAAGAGGAAACUUUGAAGGUACAAUAAGAAUUUUCAAGCAGAUAGAUAGUUGCUCGAAGUCUGAACCUGAGUGAGAAAGGGGUUCAGAGUAGCAAGAGUAAGUAUUACGUCUGCUACCAGAAUAGAGCACUAGGAAGGUGGCCCAUGAAUUAAAUACGAAGCCAAGCGUGGGGAAUAACCAUUAGAAACAUGCUUGUACAGGAGAGUCAGGUUUCUAUCCUGUGGAACUGUGGGUUAUGGGCCCACCAUACGGGAUAAAGGUAGAAGGAGUGGUGACAUCUUGCACGGUCAUGAUAACAAGGCAUGUCAGAGGGUAGCCCGUCAGUUAUGUCGAAAACGACGUCGAUACCAAGGGCGAGGGACGAAGAGAACCAUUCUCCUGCUCGUUGAACGAGGUGGACCAAUAGGCAAAGUUCUCGUCCAUCGGUGGUUACCGGAAUGUCAUCAGCAAUAGUAACAGGGUCUUACCGUCACGAUUGUACACCUAGGUGUUAACUUAAGAAGAAGAAUAUUACUGCUUAGAUCAUAUAGAUCACCAGAAAGGUUAAACAAAACAAUGGAAAGGAAAAGGUGAUCAUCAGAUUAAAUAGAACAAUGGAAAGGAAAAUGUGUUUAAACACAUUCUUCAGGGGUAUAUCCUUCCCAAGGACAAACAGAGCAUGAUAUCCACGACAGGAUAUAAUGUAGAAAACCCUUUAGGAAAGGGGAGAGAAAUUUCAUGACUUUACCCAUACCGCGGUGUUUGGAUAGUUGAGCAGGAAACAUUUAGCAUUAGGCUUCAAAUGUUCUUUUUGAAAAUCAUAGUAACAUAGACAUGCUUCGAGAUAGCAUUGACAUGGUCAUCAAGUGAAGAUCAGACUUCGGAUACACGAAGGAUCCAUCAGGAUAACUUAUUAAACAAGGCAUUCAAUUUCCUCAUGGAAAAAUGGUUAACCUUGUUAAAAAGGAAACUAUAACACUAGGUCCUCCGGUCAGGUGUGCUAGACAUGACAUCACCUUAUCGGGUCAUUUAAAGACCAAAGUUAUGACCCUUGGACAGAGUUCCAACCAUCAUAUCUGCUCAAUAUUCAGAUAUGAUUGGUGUCGGGAUAUGUCAGACUCAUGAUGCCUGAGAAGAAAAAGGUGCACACAAAUUGAUGAGAUGACAUUAUAUGAUUCUCGGGAAAUGAACUAUGGAAGCGAGUUCCGAACAAGGGUUCAUCAUUAAGCCAAGGAGAGGAUGAGGAGGUGGCUGAUGGACUCAGCGAUAAUUCAACGUGGUAUCCAAAAAGGAUGGAUCUCCACAAUUAUGUGAACAAGGAGAUAACAUUUGUCAAAUCAAAUGGUAUAAUUAGGUAUGCUCGAGGAAAACAUACACGGUUAAUCAUUUAUUGAAAGGUGCACCCGAAAUAUGGGCUUAGGUAGCAUGAUCUCAAGGUAUAACACAAAAACGAACAAGUUUGUGUUGAACAGAAGAUAAUAAAGUGGUUGAUGAUAACACGAAUCAUCAAGGGGCAAGGAUGGUAUUGCCCAUCAAGAAUUCGAUAUAUAUCUUGGAAGAGCUUAGGAUGUUGAUGAUGAUCACGACACAGUUGUCGAGAGAUUUCAUGAAGAUGUAAUCGGUCGGCGAUGCCAUCAAGUCAAAUGAUGAUGAAGCGAAAAUUUAUGGGAGCCAAGGGUACGACACAAACUCUAAAUCAAGCUUGUUGUUCAAGACGAAAUGAUAUGACGAGAAAGAUCGACGUAAGCUUAGCUCAUCGUCGAAAGUUGUGCUCCGGGAUUAAGGACCAGGUGGCAUAGUUAAAAUUGGCACGAGAAUGAUUUAGCCGAGAAGGCUAGGAAUGACGUGAUCGAGUUCAAACUCAUAAGUAAUGAAGGUUACCAAGAGAUGUUUAAUCACGGUGCGGACUCGAUUUAGUUAUCGAUGUCUUUGAGUGUUUAAUAACUUAGAGCCCGUGAAAAAUUAGAAUCAGUGAGAAUGUAGUACUUGAAGAAGAACUCAUAAGAAGUUAUGCAGUUCCGUGAUAAUCUCGAGAUACCAGGGUGUAAUACUCGAUGAUAGAUCAAAGUACAUGUUGGACUGGUGUAUUGAUCCACAGAAGACAAAUGCUUAAACUUGCCCGAGAAAAGGAUCAAAGAUGAUCAAUCAUGGUCGGAACCAUGGUUGCAAAGGACCAACAUAGAUACAAGAUGAACUUAUAACAAGGGGACCAUUAUUAAUACAAGAAGCUUCCAUGAUAAGUUCCACAUCAGGUCCAUGGGCAUGAACACAAAGUUCAAGGUCGACUCCCACUUCUCCAAAGCACAACCUUACAUUCACUUCUCGUUUCAAUUAUGGCAUUAGUGUUGAAAGUUUUACCUGGUGAAAUACCAGGUGAGUAUGGCCCGUGAAAUCUUUCGAGCUCACAUAGAUUAGGUAAGGCAUUGGUUCAACCCAUCGGGGCAUCUUAGAAACAUAUACCACAAGCUUCAAUAGUAAAUAUCACCAGCUCGAAAGUAGAGCACGGUUGAGAAAGUAGAGGAUACAAUUUACCAAAGGCAUUAUGUAUCCGAGAGAAGGCUCACAAGGUUAUUGAAUAUGAAGGACGCUGUCAGAUAAAAUCCAUUAAAGGAUCUGCCGGUCCAUUGCGGAGCUGAUGUGAGCAUCGGCACACAACCAGAGGAAGUAACAAUGCAAAGGCAUUGGAUUAUUGAAACAACCGACUAAUUCAAAGCUCAAAUGCAAAUGAAUUAUGAUUUCCAAAUCAAAGGAUCAGAAGCAAACGCUCUGAUUAAGAAUGGAUAAGUUGAGUAAGCUUAGGGGUAAAAUCGACAACAAUUUGAUUGGUCGAGAUCUAGCUCAUGCUUAAUAUGAUGUCUGGGCCGAAAGGAUGAAUUCUAGGAUCUGAUUGAGGAUUGCGAGCAUUCGCAACAUAUUGAAUCAAUGGACUCAAAAUGAUAGUGACAAGGGCUGCCAAUAAGAUUACUAUACCUAUGGGAUUAACCAUAAUGAAAGCAAGCAAGAAUUUCAAGAAUAAUAGGCAGGCGAUGAUUUUCGGAAGAUCGAAUGGUACUUCGAAGACUUUUGUGAAAUAUUUGAAUCAAAUGGGGAUGAGCGAAUACCCGAUAAGUGUGAGAAAUUAUCCAUAGGGGUAUUCAGGGGGCAAAGAACUGCAAGGCAGUAGACACAAAGUUUUCUCAGAGUAACAGAGAGAAUAUUGGGGUAUCUUGUAAUAACAAGAUCAACUGGAAUAAAAGUAGGAACGACGGGUGUAAGUAUUUGCCCAUAGGGAUAUUUCAGUGGUAGGGAAUUGCAAAAGCAACGGGCACAAGGUCUCGAGAGAAUAUCGGAAGGCAUCUUCGGAAUCCUUCGGUGCAGCAGGCGGUCAUUGGUAACACGGGGCUCUCCGGGUGGAAGUGAUCACGCGAUCCUAAUGUUAGAGUUAGCAAAAUUCAUUUAACCCGAAUAGAAGAGAGAUCAGAGUCCCAGAGUAUAGAUGAGGAGUAAAAGAUCCUAAUAACACCCAAUGGUAAUGUGGGCCCGUAAGCCGCACAACCAUGUUAGUAAAAGUUUUCCAAUGACUAGACUCGACUUCAGCCAAGGAGUUGUAAAGGGGGAUUCCUACAGGCAGUCGGCUCUGAUACCAACUUGUGACGCCCCCGAUUCAACGUACACUAAUCAUACACGCAAACGUGUACAAUCAAGAUCAAGGACUCACGGGAAGAUAUCACAAUACAACUCUACAAAUAAAAUAAGUCAUACAAGCAUCAUAUUACAAGCCAGGGGCCUCGAGGGCUCGAAUACAAGAGCUCGAUCAUAGACGAGUCAGCGGAAGCAACAAUAUCUGAGUACAGACAUAAGUUAAACAAGUUUGCCUUAAGAAGGCUAGCACAAACUGGGAUACAGAUUGAAAGAGGCGCAAGCCUCCUGCCUGGGAUCCUCCUAAACUACUCCUGGUCGUCGUCAGCGAGCUGCACGUAGUAGUAGGCACCUCUCGAGUAGUAGUAGUCGUCGUCGACAGUGGCGUCUGGCUCCUGGGCUCCAACGUCUGGUCGCAGCAAUCGAGUAUAGAAAGGGGAAAGGGGGGGAGCAAAGCAACCGUGAGUACUCAUCCAAAGUACUCUCAAGCAAGGAGCUACACUAUAUAUGUAUGCAUUGGUAUCCAAUGGAAAAGGCUAUCAUAUGUGGACUAAACUGCAGAAUGCCGGAAUAAUAGGGGGAUAGCUAGUCCUAUCGAAGACUACGCUUCUGGUAACCUCCAUCUUACAGCAGGAGAAGAGAGUAGAUGCUAAGUUCACCAAGUAUCAUCGCAUAGCAUAAUCCUAACUGAUGAUCCUCCCCUCGUUGCACUGUGAGAGAGCGUUCACCGGUUGUAUCUGGCACUUGGAAGGGUGUGUUUUAUUAAUUAUCCGGUUCUAGUUGUCAUAAGGUCAAGGUACAACUCCGGGUCAUCCUUUUACCGAGGGACAUGGCUAUUCGAAUAGAUCAACUUCCCUGCAGGGGUGCACCACAUUUCGCAACACGCUCGAUCCCCUUUGUCCAGACACACUUUUCUGGGUCAUGCCCGGCCUCGGAAGAUCAACACGUCGCAGCCCUACCUAGGCACAACAGAGAGGUCAGCAUGCUGGUCUAAAUCCUAUGGCGCAGGGGUUUGGGCCCAUCGCCCUUUGCACACCUGCAUGUUGCGAACGCGGCCGGUGAGCAGACCUAGCCUCCCUUAUACAAGAGUAGGCAUUCCAAUCCAACCCGGCGCGCGCCGCUCAGUCGCUGACGUCACGAAGGCUUCGGCUGAUACCACGACGUCGAGUGCCCAUAACUGUCCCCGCGUAGGUGGUUAGUGCGUAUAGGCUAGUGGCCUGACUCAGAUCAAAUACCAAGAUCUCGUUAAGCGGGUUAUGUAUCCGCGAACGCCGACCAGGGCCAGGCCCACCUCUCUCCUAGGUGGUCUCAACCUGCCCUGUCGUUGUGCCACAAAGUAACAGUCGGGGGCCGUCGGGAACCCAGGCCCACCUCUACCGGGAUGGAGCCAUCUGCCCCUUCAGCCCCCAUCUCCGAAUAGUAUCAUAAGUAAUGUAACAGUAUCAGUAUAUAACAUAUGCCCGAGAUCACCUCCUGAAGUGAUCACGGCCCAGUAGUAUAGCAUGGCGGACGGACAAGAAUGUAGGGCCACUGAUGGUAAACUAGCAUCCUAUACUAAGCAUUUAGGAUUGCAGGUAAGGUAUCAACAGUUGUAGAACAAUGACAGGCUAUGCAACAGAAUAGGAUUAACGGAAAGCAGUAACAUGCUACACUACUCUAAUGCAAGCAGUAGAGAGAAGAGUAGGAGAUAUCUGGUGAUCAAAGGGGGGGGGGGCUUGCCUGGUUGCUCUGGCAAGAGAGAGGGGUCGUCAACACCGUAGUCGUACUGGGUAGCAACGGCGUCGAUCUCGGUGUCUAGCGAGAGAAGAGGGGGAAGAAACAAUAAAUAUUAAGCAAACAGAUGCAUAGCGAUGCAUGACAUGACAAGUAUCGGUGCUAGGGGUGCCCUAACGCAGUAUGAGGUGGUACCGGUGACGGGGGAAAACAUCCGGGAAAGUAUUCCUGGUGUUUCGCGUUUUCGGACAAAUGAACCGGAAGGGGAAAGUUGUGUGUUUGCCAUGCUAGGGAUGUGUGGCGGACUAACAAGUUGCGUAACCGGAUUCGUCUCGUCGUUCUGAGCAACAUUCAUGUACAAAGUUUUUCCAUUCGAGCUACGGUUUAUUUUAUAUUGAUUUUUAAAGUUUUAAAUCAUUUUCUAGAAUUAACAGAAUUAAUUUAGUACUAAAAUACAUUUCUGAGGUCAGCAUGACGUCAGCACGACGUCAUCAGUUGACUGGGUCAAACUGACGCGUGGGUCCUACUAUCAUUGACUAAGUCUAAUUAAACAGGUUAAUUAGUUUAAUUAGUUGUUCGGUUUAAUUAAUCAAAAUUAAUGAAGUUAAAUAUUUUUAUUCUUUUUUUAUGGAAACGUUCUAGGGUGUGGGCCCCUCGUGUCAUAGAGUCAGGGCCUUAACGGGCGCGGGCGCUGGGCUAACCGGGUCUUCGCCCUGGUCGUGCAGGCGCGUGCGCUGGGUGCCUUAGCGCACGGACAGGGGGAAGGGGACGGCGUGUGGUCCAGCACCGACGACCGUGGCGGGUGUAGGGUGGCCCGACGAGGCCGGCCAGAGCUGAGGGGGCGCGAUGGCAGGUGCACGGGGCGCCAGAGGCCCGGCCAGAGGCAGCGAUGCGUGCGAGGGCUAGCGGCGAGCAGCGCAGCGACGGGCGAAGCUGGGCCGCGCGGGUGGGGCGCCGCGGCCGAGCAGGAAGUUGCGUCACGCAGGGCGCGGUCGGGCAGCCGUGUACGGCGAGACGACGGCGGGGGAACGGCUCGGGCGCGCGGUGACAGGGGAAGAGGGGAGGGGAGGAGGGCGCGUGCUCACACAGGUGUUGCAGGGGUUCGGGCAACGGGGGGACGAGGAGGUGGACGGGGACGACCGGCGAGGAAGGCGGAGACGGGGAGGCAGCUCCGGUGNNNNNNNNNNNNNNNNNNNNNNNNNNNNNNNNNNNNNNNNNNNNNNNNNNNNNNNNNNNNNNNNNNNNNNNNNNNNNNNNNNNNNNNNNNNNNNNNNNNNNNNNNNNNNNNNNNNNNNNNNNNNNNNNNNNNNNNNNNNNNNNNNNNNNNNNNNNNNNNNNNNNNNNNNNNNNNNNNNNNNNNNNNNNNNNNNNNNNNNNNNNNNNNNNNNNNNNNNNNNNNNNNNNNNNNNNNNNNNNNNNNNNNNNNNNNNNNNNNNNNGGGGAGUGGGGGGAGUGUGUGGGGAGUGGGAUGGGCGAGUGGGGGUAGGGUUUCGGGGAUGGGGAGAUAAGGGAAGUGGGGGUGUCGGUUGGGCCUUUUGGCCAGUUGGGCCUUUUUUGCUAAAUGGGCCAAGGGGCCCGGUAGAUUAGGUUUCUUUUCUGUUUACUUGUAUUUUUCCUUUUACUUUUUGUUUAUUUAUUUAGCUAUUGUUUUGUAUUUUCUUUUAGCAUCAAAAUAUUUUUGUAAACUGUUAAACCUUGCCAUAUAAUUACUAUGCAUUAUUGUGCACUGCCACAACAAGUUUGGGAUUCAAAAUAAUUUAUUAAGUUUGAGUUUAUUUUUUAAAUGGGAUAAAAAGGUGUUGUUGGUCCACUGUUUUAAUAUCCAGGGGCAAUUUUAUAUUUUGAAAUUUUUUAAUUAUUUCAUGACAAAUUGUUAGUGAAUAUUUGCAACCCACC